AGACCCGAAACCCGGUGAUCUAGCCAUGGGCAGGUUGAAGGUUGGGUAACACUAACUGGAGGACCGAACCGACUAAUGUUGAAAAAUUAGCGGAUGACCUGUGGCUGGGGGUGAAAGGCCAAUCAAACCGGGAGAUAGCUGGUUCUCCCCGAAAGCUAUUUAGGUAGCGCCUCGUGAAUUCAUCUCCGGGGGUAGAGCACUGUUUCGGCUAGGGGGCCAUCCCGGCUUACCAACCCGAUGCAAACUGCGAAUACCGGAGAAUGUUAUCACGGGAGACACACGGCGGGUGCUAACGUCCGUCGUGAAGAGGGAAACAACCCAGACCGCCAGCUAAGGUCCCAAAGUCAUGGUUAAGUGGGAAACGAUGUGGGAAGGCCCAGACAGCCAGGAUGUUGGCUUAGAAGCAGCCAUCAUUUAAAGAAAGCGUAAUAGCUCACUGGUCGAGUCGGCCUGCGCGGAAGAUGUAACGGGGCUAAACCAUGCACCGAAGCUGCGGCAGCGACACUGUGUGUUGUUGGGUAGGGGAGCGUUCUGUAAGCCUGUGAAGGUGUGUCGUGAGGCAUGCUGGAGGUAUCAGAAGUGCGAAUGCUGACAUAAGUAACGAUAAAGCGGGUGAAAAGCCCGCUCGCCGGAAGACCAAGGGUUCCUGUCCAACGUUAAUCGGGGCAGGGUGAGUCGACCCCUAAGGCGAGGCCGAAAGGCGUAGUCGAUGGGAAACGGGUUAAUAUUCCCGUACUUGGUGUUACUGCGAAGGGGGGACGGAGAAGGCUAUGUUGGCCGGGCGACGGUUGUCCCGGUUUAAGCGUGUAGGUGUGUGUUCCAGGUAAAUCCGGUUCACUUUAACACUGAGGCGUGACGACGAGGCACUACGGUGCUGAAGCAACAAAUGCCCUGCUUCCAGGAAAAGCCUCUAAGCAUCAGGUAACAUCAAAUCGUACCCCAAACC
rnacentral:rRNA from 1 species